AAAAAAAAGGUAUGGAACAUCAUCAUGUAGAAACUAAAAUUUAAGUUGACUCAAAUUAAGUAGAAAACAUGCUAGAAAGAAGUAUCCCUCCCUCACUGCUGACAAAAGGAAUGAGGGCUUCAAAAGAAUUGAGAGUACAGGUAGCGGUCCUAGCGGAAGAAAGGAAGCAUAUGGAGCAAUGAAUUGGUCUGCCUCUACUACUAUUAGAGGCAAACAACAAUGCUGGGAUGAUUUUUAUAAGCAGGACAUGAACGCUAGAAAGCUAAAUUGACACCCUGGUGCCUCCCGUUUAUAGAUGUCACCAACAAGUAAGAGUGUUCCUCUCGUGUUUAUAUUGGAAUAUUGUUAUUGCUUCUAUCUGUAAAACCUGAAAAAUCUGAAACCAUUCCUAUACUGAAUAAUAGAAGAUAUAAAAUGAAUAUGUGUUGCCAUUGCAUCCUUAUAUUUAUUUCUUCAAUCCACAAUUAACUAUCUAAACCACUUUUUUUUAUUUUAAUUCACAUAAAUUAUUUUCGUUGCUGGUUUUAGUAUGAAUAUUUUGAUAUAUCUCCGUGCAAAAAAGGAUUUUGAUAUAGCUAUAUGCAUGUGCAUUGCCAUUCGAUUCCUUUUCCAAUAUGUAACAGUAGUCAUUGUAAAUAUACUUUCAUAUUGUUUCUCUCUGUUGGGGCAAGAACUCUGAAAAAUGAUAUUUGGGGUGGUUGAUAGGCUCACCAGGUAAAAAGGUACUUCAUACUAUAUAUGUCUAGAUUCAUUGACAUCUAUAUGAAUGCGGGUAAUGCUAAAAAGUCUUAUAAUAUGAAACGGAGGUAGUAGAAACUAUGUAAAGAAAACUUCCUUCAAUUUAGUUUGUAUGGGCAUUAUUAAGUUACCUAAAACAAAUACUAAGAAUUUUGGGUCAAAAGGUAUGUUUUCUCCACAUAAUUUUGAUGUAAGAGUGAUAUGGUUCAACCCAUAACUCUUUAAUUUUGAUAUGGGUGUUCAGUUGCUACUUUUCUUCUUUUUGCGGGAAAUUUAUUUGCAAAGCACUCAAUUUACUGCUCUGCAAUUGCUUCACAGGUAACAUUCAUGCUUUCAAAUCUGUACUGUUCAUUCAUCUAUGAACAUAUAAAUGUGAAUUUUAUACUGCAAAAAUAGCUCACCAUUCAGUUUCAAUAGUUUAUGUUAAUGUUUCCGUAUAACAUUGGAACCAUGCCCCAUGCAUCCUUUUAUUAGCAAUAUUAACUGCUCAGAUCGGGCUGGGGGUGUUAUCUUCAGAGGGAGGAAAGUGUGAGGAAAAAGUUUUCAUGGCAUCAUUAGUUGUUCCCCUAAGAAAAACAUAUGUAUUCACCUGGAUAUUUACAAUUUUUUGUUUAUCAGAAAGUAAAUGAUGAGUAUAACCCUAAUCCUCUCAUUUUAGUCCUCAUUUUAGAUCAGUAUUCCUUAUUGAAUGUAAAACUGAAGUUACACUGAUGCAUGAUCACAGAAUUAUUCUAUGGGAUUGGUUGUUAUUUGUACUACUGAGUACUGACCAUUCUCUCAUGAUAUAUGAACAGAGCAUAUGCUCCUAGCAAGAAAUGUGGCAUGGGUGAGUUUAUAGUCUUGCUUUCACCAUGUAUGAAAUGUGGCAUGUGAGUUUAUACUCUUUCUUUCACCAUGUUGACUUUUUGCACAUUUAUAGAAUCUUUUGGUAUAAUGCUUUGUGUCGAUUCACAUGUUUUAUUAAUUAUUAACGACCAGCUGCAUAGGAAAACUGAGGAUGUACAUGGUUGAAAAGCCUAUAACAUUAUUACUAUGUUCAUUUAUCUACAAUCGUUUGGAUUUAAGAGUUUAAAGGAUAAUUUACUAAGGUGGUUAUCUCUGGUAAUUAGUUUCUUGUCUUCAUCUACUCCUUUUGUACCAGAAAAAAUAAUUUUUGGAUGAUGAUAAUAUACUAAGGCCAACUGCAGAUGUUGUGACUAAUAUUGCACAUCUUCAGUGCAUGCUUAUCUAGGGUGGACACUAUGUUUAUUCCCGACAGUUCUUAAUCACUUAGAAAUAGGGUUAUGAAAUUCAGCAACAUAUGUGAUUUGAUCUGAAAGAAUCAUCAAAGAGUUCAUCUUUGUGUAAGCUUAUAUUAUAAAAGAUUUUAUGCCAACAUUUUAUCUUUCCAACACGUGUCUUGCACGUGCACGAUUACUAGUAUAUAAUCUAACCCUAAGUCAACAGGUCAAACUCCAAAUCCUCUACCCAUCCAGAUCUGCACCAGCCACCAACCACCACCCGAGUCAGUCCGCCGGCUCCGGGAGCCCGGGAGCCACGCGCGCCGCCGUUCGCCAGUCCACCGGGAGCCCGGGAGCCGCGCGCGCCGCCUUUUGCCAGCCACCACCGACGCCGUUCACCAGUCUGCCAGCCACCACGCGCGCCGCCACUCACUGCCUUCUCUCGCCGGGAUACUAAAGCUGUCAUCGCCGGCCGUCGCCAUGGACUGAAGUCGCCGUCGCCGGCCGCCUUUCAUCAAUGCGCCGCCGGGCCGGCGCGGCGCCUGCAGCCAUCUUCACCGGGAGCCGCUAUCUGCCGACCAUGGCUUCGGCCUCCCCCCCCCCCCCAUAAGCUACGACAGCGACGAUGCAAGGAGCAUUUUUGGAGCAUUGUGAUCUAUAAUUUGCUGAUUUGUUGAAUGGAGCAUUUUGGAUAUAUAUGAUAUAAUGUGACUGUGAAUAUGUUGUUUAACCGAGGAUAGGUUCACCA